rnacentral:misc_RNA from 1 species
GAUGAAGAACGUAGCGAAAUGCGAUACUUGGUGUGAAUUGCAGAAUCCCGUGAACCAUCGAGUCUUUGAACGCAAGUUGCACCCGAAGCCAUUAGGCCGAGGGCACGCCUGCCUGGGCGUCACACGUCGUUGCCCCCCCAUCUACUCCUUCGGGAUUGCGGGGGGCGGAUGAUGGCCUCCCGUGCGCCUCGUCGCGCGGUUGGCAUAAAUGCCAAGUCCUCGGCGACGCACGCCACGACAAUCGGUGGUUGCGAAACCUCGGUUGCCCGUCGUGUGCGGUCGUCGCGCAUCGAGGGCUCGAAAAAAUUGCCGAGUUCCGGCUCGGCUUUCAACGCGACCCCAGGUCAGGCGGGGUUACCCGCUGAAUUUAAGCAUAUCAAUAAGCGGAGGA